AAAAAUUAAAAAAAAAAAAAGGGAAAAAAGACCAAUCAGCAGGUCUCCUAAAGAAGUUUGACGGGGCUGUGCAUGUGUUAAGCUUUCUUCAUCAGCAGCAUUUUCCUAAUUUUCCAAAUCUGAAUGACAUUGCGGAAGAAUUUUAUUUCUGCUGAGAAAUAGGUGAGAGAGAGGAACACGUAGGCAAUGAAGUCAUCUUUCAUAUGAAGAAAUACACUUGACUGGUAUUCUACAACCUAAUUUGCAUUAUAUAUAUAGAUAGAUAUCAUUCAUGAUAGAUUCGAGUCAUAUAUAAAUCAAAAGGAAACAAAUAUAUUCGAAAAAUGAGAAAUAAGAAUCACUACUGUAAUUCUCAUCCGGAACCCAACAUGAAAAAACAUAUAUAAGCACUUACAACGUAAUGGCUGAUGUCAAAAUUGCCAAAUUUUGAAAACGCUUCUGAUUCCCACUGCUAAUGAAAAGCGAAUGGAAAGAAUUCAGUGGGUUAAGGAAGUACUUUUCUGCAUAUUUGCCUAAUUUUCAGCUUGUUACUAAGUUCAUUUUACAUAUAAUUGGCAGUUAUUCUCGUUCACCCCCCCCC